rnacentral:lncRNA from 1 species
CUGUGGAGUUUUACUCCCUGCUCCUCUGGCUAUCCUCCCGAUGGAUCCCUGUGGUGCCAGGCAGGAAUGGGCUGCUCAGGGACCCAGCAAGUUCCCAGGGCUUUUCUGCUGCUUCCUGUACCCCUGUAUUUUGCUCAGCUCUCUAACUUGACUCAGCUCCAGCAAAGCAGUUGCUGCUACAGAUUGAAUGCAUCUGGGCCAUCCGUGGGUUACUGGCUUAAGGAUUUUUGAUAGGAAGACUACGGGUUGUCAGUGGCCUCCAUGCUUUUGGUUUCUCUAGGUUCAAAAGAAAGAGGAGUGAAGAGGAGUAAAACACACAUCUAUUAAAAAGCAAGAAGAUUAAAUAAAUUGAAGCUUUUUAUUUCUCUUUCUCUGCCUAAGGUGUGUCUGUGAGGGUGUUGCCAAAGGAGAUUAACAUUUGAGUCAGUGGACUGGGAGAGGCAGACCCAUCCUCAGUCUGCACCAUCUAAUCAGCUGCCAGCAUGGCUAGAAUAAAAGCAUGCAGAAGAAAGUGGAAGGGCUUGACAUGCUGAGUCUUCUGGCCUUCAUCUUUCUCCUGUACUGGAUGCUUCCUGCCCUUGAACGUCGAACUCCAAGUUCUUCAGCUUUUGGACACUUGGACUCACACCAGUGGUUUGCCAGGGGCUCUGAGGUCUUCAGCCACAGACUGAAGGCUGCACUGUCGGCUUCCAUACUUUUGAGGUUUUGGAACUCGGACUGGCUUCCUUGCUUCUCAGCUUGCAGAUGGCCUAUUGUGGGACUUCACCUUGUGAUCGUGACCCAGUGGCUGUCUUGAUGUCUCACAGCAGGAAGAGACUCUCUCAAAUAGGUGUACACAUGGGGAGAGAGAGAGCAAGGAGACUGAGAUACAAUCAGCCACCAGCAAGUUGUCUUGAUUUUCUGAAUGGAGCGUGGUAGCAUGUUAUAGAGUCCAAGGAAUUUGCCAAAUCCGUGUGAGAAGAUUUGCCUCUCACAUGUGAGAGAAUUUUUUGAGAAAAAAAAGAUCCUGACCCCGUCCCUCUGCCACCACCCGAGUGAGGAAGACUGACAGAGCACAUUGGCUUGCUGUGGAGACAAGAUCAGGGAAAGCGCCCCUGAAAAGAAAGCAUUUUGGAAGUCCUGAAGGUGGAGAAGGAGAUUUAGAGGAAGAGUGAUAAAUCAGAAGUCUUCGUCCAAGAAUUAGCUUUGCACCAUCUACAGACCUAAGCAGCUGCAGUCCUGGAACUGUGUGAUAACUUGCCCAGAAAAUCUUCUUGUGGAAUCUGUCUUUACAUGGAAAAGACUUGGCAAUAUUUGUACAGCAACUGGAAGAAAGGUCUUUGCUGAGAUAUACAAAGAGGCAGAAUGUGUGUGGAUCACCGAUUAGACAAGGCGAAUAGGAGCAGAAUAGAAGAGGAAUGGAAUAGAACUCAAGGACUUGAAGAAAUGACUCCUCUCCUAUUCAUGUAGUGUCAGCCCCAGGAGCUCACCUUGGCUGGAGAAUCCACCUCCAAGAUACCUUACUUAGACGGUAUGCAAUUUCAUGUUGGUGGACAACUAGGGAAUAUUUUCUCCACAUGGGCCUCUUCAUAUCACUUCUUCCUCACAGCAUGGCAACUGGGUUCCAAGACUGUGCAUUUGAAAAGACAGGAAGUAGGUAUUACCAGUGUCUUAAGACCUAGGUCCAGAUGCUGGCACUGCGUCACUUCUAAGUUCCAUAAGUCAAGGCAAUCACACAGCCCACUCAGAUUUGCAUAAAGAAGAUAUAGGCUCCUGGUCUUGUUGGGUGAAAUGUUACAUACUGUGUGGCCAUGAUAAGUGCAGAUUUCAAGUACAGUUUUGCUGUCUCUAAAGACAUAAGGAUAAGAAACAACAAAAACAAAAAUUGUCGAGUGGGACCUAAUUAAAGAGGUUCUGCACAGCAAAAGAAAUUAUCAAUGGAGUAAACAGACAACCUACAGAAAGGGAGAAAAUAUUCAAAUACUAUGGAUCCAAUAAAGGUCUAAUAUCCAGAAUCUGUAAGGAAUUUAAAAAUUGAACAAGUGAAAAACAAAUAACCCCAUAAAAAUUGGGCCAAAGACAUGAACAAACACUUAUCAAAAGAAGACAUACAAGGGGCCAACAAACAUAUGACAAAAUGCUCAUCAUUGCUAAUCACCAGAAAAAUGCAAAUCAAAUCACAACAAGAUACCAUCUCACAGCAGUCAGAAUGGCUUGUGUUAAAGAGUCAAAAAAACAACACAUGCUUGUGAGGUUGUGGAGAAAAGGAAAUGCUCACAUUGUUCAGCCAUAGAAAGGAACAAAAGCAUACCCUUCGCAGCAACAUGGAUGCAGCUGGAGGCCAUUAUAAGUGAAUUAACACAGGAAAAGAAAACCAAACGUCACAUGUUCUCACUUAGAAGUAGGAGCUAAACCUCCUAAACAUCGAGCACUCACAGACAUAAAGACAGGAACGACAGAUACUGGGAGGGAAGGGGGCAAGGAUAGAAAAACUAUUAGGUACCGUGCUCACUACCUGGGUGACAGGAUCAAUCAUACCCCAAACCUCAGCAUCACACAACAUACCCAGGUAACAAGCCUGCUCAUGUACCCCCUGAAUCUAAAAUAAAAGUUGAAGUUAUUUAGAAAAAUAAAAGAUAAAAAAGAUGAUUAAACGAAGUCCCUUUUAUCUGAUGUGUAUUUAUUAGGCAACUUGCAAAUAUAAAUGUGUGCCAAAUCACUGAACAAAUAAAGGUCUAUUCAGUUAUGUAAAUAAAACUUCAAUAAAUACAUUCUGGAAAAACUAAAUAGAGACAGAGCAACUUUUAAUGGGGCUGAAGAUAGUGUAUUAGGAGUGGAUGGAUAAAGCUUGCUGGAGGAAAUGGCAUUUAACAUAGAUUAAAACUGUUGAAGACUGAAAACUAAAAUCACAGGCAAAGC